UACGUAGGGUCCGAGCGUUGUCCGGAAUUACUGGGCGUAAAGAGCUCGUAGGUGGUUUGUCGCGUUGUUCGUGAAAACUCACAGCUCAACUGUGGGCGUGCGGGCGAUACGGGCAGACUAGAGUACUGCAGGGGAGACUGGAAUUCCUGGUGUAGCGGUGGAAUGCGCAGAUAUCAGGAGGAACACCGGUGGCGAAGGCGGGUCUCUGGGCAGUAACUGACGCUGAGGAGCGAAAGCGUGGGGGAUCAAACAGG
rnacentral:rRNA from 1 species